GACGAACGCUGGCGGCGUGCCUAAUACAUGCAAGUCGAACGCUGAAGAGAGGAGCUUGCUCUUCUUGGAUGAGUUGCGAACGGGUGAGUAACGCGUAGGUAACCUGCCUUGUAGCGGGGGAUAACUAUUGGAAACGAUAGCUAAUACCGCAUAACAAUGGAUGACACAUGUCAUUUAUUUGAAAGGGGCAAUUGCUCCACUACAAGAUGGACCUGCGUUGUAUUAGCUAGUAGGUGAGGUAAUGGCUCACCUAGGCGACGAUACAUAGCCGACCUGAGAGGGUGAUCGGCCACACUGGGACUGAGACACGGCCCAGACUCCAACGGGAGGCAGAAGUGGGGAAUCUGCGGCAAUGGGGGCAACCCUGACCGAGCAACGCGGCGGGAGUGAAGAAGGUUUUCGGAUCGUAAAGCUCUGUUGUAAGUCAAGAACGGGUGUGAGGGUGGAAAGUUCACACUGUGACGGUAGCUUACCAGAAAGGGAGGGCUAACUACG
rnacentral:rRNA from 1 species